GCCAUUCAUUUACUCCCCUCAGUAUCCACCUGAAAGGAAGAAGCUGAGACACAGAGUACAAUCUAAAGAGUUUACUUGAGCCAAAGUGAGUGGUGAGCCCUCUUGGGAAUGUUGGCAGGAGAAGAUGACUCCACACAUGGGCUGAACUGCAAAUGGAGUGCAUCAGAUGACCACCACCUCCCUAGAGCAGAUCACCCGUGGGCCAGCAGAAGCCCCAGACCUCAGCCAUCUUGGAGGAAUUAUGAGGUGUAUGAGAUCCAGAGUUCCGUCAGUCUCUCCCCAGCCACAGGCCGU